rnacentral:misc_RNA from 1 species
GAUGAAUAACGUAGCGAAAUGCGAUAAGUAAUGUGAAUUGCAGAAUUCAGUGAAUCAUCGAAUCUUUGAACGCACAUUGCGCCCGCUAGUAUUCUGGCGGGCAUGCCUGUUCGAGCGUCAUUUCAACCAUCAAGCCCUGUUUAGGCUUGUGUUGGGGCCCUGCGGCUGCCGCAGCCCCCUAAAUGCAGUGGCGGGCUCGUUGUCACUCCGAGCGCAGUAGCGUAUCUCGCUCUGGGCGUGGCGGCGGGUGCUAGCCGUGAAACACCCACUAAGGUUGACCUCGGAUCAGGUAGGAAUACCCGCUGAACUUAAGCAUAUCAAUAAGCGGAGGA